UGGGGAAUAUUGCACAAUGGGCGAAAGCCUGAUGCAGCAACGCCGCGUGAGUGAUGAAGGUCUUCGGAUUGUAAAGCUCUGUCUUUUGGGACGAUAAUGACGGUACCAAAGGAGGAAGCCACGGCUAACUACGUGCCAGCAGCCGCGGUAAUACGUAGGUGGCGAGCGUUGUCCGGAUUUACUGGGCGUAAAGGGUGCGUAGGCGGAUGUUUAAGUGAGAUGUGAAAUACCCGGGCUUAACUUGGGUGCUGCAUUUCAAACUGGAUAUCUAGAGUGCAGGAGAGGAGAAUGGAAUUCCUAGUGUAGCGGUGAAAUGCGUAGAGAUUAGGAAGAACACCAGUGGCGAAGGCGAUUCUCUGGACUGUAACUGACGCUGAGGCACGAAAGCGUGGGUAGCAAACAGGAUUAGAUACCCUGGUAGUCCACGCCGUAAACGAUGAGUACUAGGUGUAGGAGGUAUCGACCCCUUCUGUGCCGCAGUAAACACAUUAAGUACUCCGCCUGGGAAGUACNAUCGCAAGAUUAAAACUCUAAAGUGAA
rnacentral:rRNA from 1 species